CCUCAGACUUGACUUUCACGAUCACAGCCAUCCCUUCCACAUACUUGUAACUCUGGCAUUCCUCCCUCCCUCCAACUCUCUCCUCCUUCACUUCUCUGCAUUCUCCACUCUCCUACAAAAACCUCCCUCCAGGUCCCCUAUUUUCAAAGAAAGCACAGGUAGAAAGUGGUUCAACGACUAUACAAAAGGCAGCCUGUAGCUACUUAAAUGCUUCAGAAAGACAAAGCCACAAUAGCAGAAUAUAGAAGAAGAAAAGUGAGACUGAAGAAAUUCUGCAACAAAUUCAACCAGACACCAGUCCCUGCCAUUGCUACGUCAGCAUUAUGCUUGAGGGACAUUAGCCCUGAGCUAACAUCUGUGCCAAUCUUCUACUUUAU